CCGCACAAGCGGUGGAGCAUGUGGUUUAAUUCGACGCAACGCGAAGAACCUUACCAGGGCUUGACAUCCCCUGACCGCGUAUGAAAGUACGUUUUCACCUCGGGUGACAGGGAGACAGGUGGUGCAUGGUUGUCGUCAGCUCGUGUCGUGAGAUGUUGGGUUAAGUCCCGCAACGAGCGCAACCCCUACGUUUAGUUGCUAACGCGUGAAGGCGAGCACUCUAGACGAACUGCCGUUGACAAAACGGAGGAAGGUGGGAUGACGUCAAAUCAUCAUGCCCCUUAUGUUCUGGGCUACACACGUGCUACAAUGGCCGGUACAGACGGACGCAAAGCCGCGAGGUGGAGCAAAUCCUAAAAAGCCGGUCUCAGUUCGGAUUGCAGGCUGCAAUUCGCCUGCAUGAAGUCGGAAUCGCUAGUAAUCGCAGGUCAGCAUACUGCGGUGAAUACGUUCCCGGGCCUU
rnacentral:rRNA from 1 species